rnacentral:lncRNA from 1 species
UAGAUGCAAGAGUUGCAGGGCCAGUGGCAGGAGGAGGCCAUGAAGGCUGAGAAGUGGCUGUUCGAAUGCCAAAACCUAGAGGAAAAGUGUGACCUGUUGACAAAAGAGAAGGAGCGGCUGUUGACUGAGAGGGACUCCCUGAGGGAGACCAAUGAGGAGCUCCGAUGUGCCCAGUUGCAGCCCAGGGGAUUGAAUCAGGCUGGCCUCUCCCUGGAUCCUACCCCUUCUGGCCUGGAGAACUUAGCAGCAGAGAUCCUGCCUGCAGAGCUCAGAGAGACACUCGUGCGGCUUCAGCUGGAGAACAAGAGACUGUGCCAGCAAGAGGCUGCGGACCGGGAGCGACAGGAGGAACUGCAGCGCCACCUGGAGGAGGCCAACCGUGCACGCCAUGGGCUGGAAGCGCAGCAACGGCUGAACCAGCAGCAGCUUUCUGAGCUGAGGGCCCAGGUGGAAGAGCUACAGAAGGCCUUGCAGGAGCAGGGGGGCAAGACAGACGACCCCACCCUGCUGAAGCGGAAGCUGGAGGAUCAUCUGUAAGUGC